rnacentral:rRNA from 1 species
AUUGAACGCUGGCGGCAUGCCUUACACAUGCAAGUCGACCGGCAGCGGGGGAGAAGCUUGCUUUUCCUGCCGGCGAGUGGCGAACGGGUGAGUAAUACAUCGGAACGUGCCCUGUAGUGGGGGAUAACUAGUCGAAAGAUUAGCUAAUACCGCAUACGACCUGAGGGUGAAAGUUGGGGACCGCAGGGCCUCAUGCUAUAGGAGCGGCCGGUGUCUGAUUAGCUAGUUGGUGGGGGAAAGGGCUACCAAGGCGACGAUCAGUAGCUGGUCUGAGAGGACGAUCAGCCACACUGGGACUGAGACACGGCCCAGACUCCUACGGGAGGCAGCAGUGGGGAAUUUUGGACAAUGGGCGAAAGCCUGAUCCAGCAAUGCCGCGUGUGUGAAGAAGGCCUUCGGGUUGUAAAGCACUUUUGUCCGGAAAGAAAUGGCUCUGGUUAAUACCUGGGGUCGAUGACGGUACCGGAAGAAUAAGGACCGGCUAACUACGUGCCAGCAGCCGCCGUAA